AUUACAGAUUCAAUAACUUCCAAUUUUUGUUUGCUUUCUUAUUUUUCAUUUGUUGCUAAUGCAGAUGUGUUCAAAUACAGGGCCUGAAAGAGAUGAGCUCGAUUUUGAGUUCUUGGGAAACAUAACAGGGCAGCUGCAUACAAUACAAACCAAUGUAUACAAAUCAGGAGUUGGAGGCAGGGAAAUGAGACAUGUUAUGUGGUUUGAUCCAACUGAGGACUUCCACACCUAUUCCAUUCUUUGGAACAACCACUAAAUAAUGGAUGGAAGUUGAGAUGGCUAAUACUGCAGAGUGGGAGUGAAGACCAGCUUAAGGGAGGCAGGACAUGACAUGCUUGUUUCAUUCUUUGGAGAGUGAAUAAAGAGGUUGGACGCUCUCAUCUCUGGUAAGAUCUCAACUGAGACACAUCUUUUAGAAGAAAAAGGUGAACUUUUAAAGGAAAUCGAGGUUCUUUGCAACCAAGUGGAUCAUAACCAAGAAGUAAGUAGGUUUCCUAUGGAAAAUCUACGGCCGAAGGAAGAACUUAUAAGGCACGGCCUUUACAUUUGCUUACCAUUUAUACGAUUGUCAUUUUUUGCAUUUUUAUUAUUUUCUUGGAUUAGGAUAUAUGUAGGAAGCUUCUUGUUACUCACUUUCAAAUACCUAGUAUUUGGCAAUGUCAAUUGUGAACAAGAAGCAAGGUGUUCCCAUUCCAUUCCAAUAAAGCUUGAUACUCUCCUACCUUGGUAAGUUUAAAUUCUUAUUACAUGUUUAUGCAUCUAGAAGUGUUUUGUUGCUUUCAACCGUCAGUCAUCUAAUUUCCUUUUUGUGGAGUAUAAUAUUUGGAAGUCAACUCUGACCUGCUGGGCAAUGUAACGAUCUUGGUUUGUUGUAACUAUAUUAUACAUGUAAUGUUGAAUCUGAACCAUUCAUUUGGUUGGGCCUGAUAUCACAGGUAGGAAAAACACACCAAACAGAGUCCUAGCUGUCAAUUAGUGGCCUUCAAAUGGA